GUUAUGUUUCGGAUAUGUGAUCUAAAUGCGUUGUUUGACGAGACCAGAAUGUAUAUUUAGGCACGGUUUACAAGCGGUUCGGGGACAUGAUUCCUAGUUAUUGCUGAUAAUAUAGGACGCGCUCAGGCGCUUUUUUCCGCUUGGAAUAAAAACACACAACAAGAAGUCCAACCAUAAAAGCAAGCUUAAUAGUUUAAUAUGUCUUGACAAGACUUCCAUAGCACAUAUCUUUCAGAAAUGAAAGGCAGAAGGCGCGACAAACGUGUUUUAGGAUAUAUGAACAUUGUUUUUUCAUUACACAAGUUAAUUGCUAGUGAAAAGUUAAUUAAAUGAAACUCGCUAUUGACCGAGAACGUUUUGAGUAUUUGUAAUUGGUAAAGUAAUGCAAAACGUUUUAAUUAAGUUCUUAUGGUUCUGCGUAAUUAUCAAUAAUUAUCUGUUCCCCGUAAGAUAUAGUUAAGAUUCUUUGACUUGUUUGUGAUUUUUGUGGCGUAAGUUUGUUUUUGGUGUUUAUUUUACGUAUAUGCUGUUUAUAUGUUUGUGUUUAUAGUAUAUUGUCGUUUGGGUCUUUGCCUUGUUUCCCUAAACAGGAUUAUUUUUGAAUUUUCGACUACUGGGCUUGUCCCUGUAUCUUUCAUGUUAUUAUUGCUUUUAAUAUAACAUUAACGUUGCAAUUUUAUGAACGUCCUUAAAAAAUGUGGCAUUGUAAUUCACAAUCGUAGAUCGUGUCCAUACCGGAUUUCGAUGUUCGGUACUUAUGUUUGUAAGCCGCAGUCGUUAAUCGUUUUCAAUCAUACGUGUGCCAAGUAAGGCUUUCACAGCCAUUGGGUUGACGAUCAAGUGUCCAUUCUCUGGACCAUUGAUCGGCUACUUAUAUAUGUGAUAAGAACCCAGCUCUAGUUUAUACGACGUAUGCAGACUAUUGCCUCUUUGCGAAUCCCACUCGGCAGUAUGUUUUCUUGUGAGGCUUUCCCCUGUCAAUGCGCUUUGUUGAAACAUUGUGGAUGUACAAUUACUGCCGGAUAUCUCUAUGUGGGAAAAUUGUUCUUAUUGUAAAUGUUUUGCAAAAAUGGCCACUCAUAUUCGCGCGCUCUAUCUGACCUGUCUCUAAGCAACACUGGACUUUGGAGUGAACUUUUUGACAACUACGGCUUAUAUUUAAGAUUAUAUAUUUGUAUGUGUCGACUGCAUGUUUGACAACGUUAAAUAGUGAAUUCUGAUAGUCAAACUACAACAUCUGCAUAAUGCAUCGGUAUAGCGCGUAUGUUCAUCUGUUUUGUACGCUACUCAAUGCCAGUGCCAAUUCAAGGGAAUUACCUCAUACCACACAGUGAAUCCAAUCAACUUCCCGUCAAGUAUAGAUUUCAAAAUAAACAACUAUCAAAGUUAUAACGUUAUUAAUUAAAGGAAAAUUUUGAACAAUCGGCCAUAAAAAAAAACACUAUUAAUGUUUAUUUCUACAGGGAAUGCGAUAAUAAAAAAAGGUUUACAAAACAGUAGAUAAUGAUGGGUUCUAUCACCACAAACCGUACGUAUUUAUGUAAUGUAUGAUGAUAGACCCAUUCAUGUGGGCACCCGUGAAAUAAGUAUGCGUCGGUUUAAAUAAAGUUUUUGAGUCUGAUUUCAAAGAUGAUGGCAAAAAUGUAAACACACACAAUUUUUGGGCCAUAUUUUGACCGGGUUAGUAGUAAUAUUAAUACAUUUCCUUUAAAGGAUGACACUCUUUCGACUCAACUGAUUUAAGUUUCUGUCGAGUUUUUGUUUAUAAUUGUAGGAUAUAGAACAAAAGGGUUUUCGAAAUCAGACACAAAGAUCCCACUUGAAAGCACGCAUACUAACUUUACGCGUAUCACUGCGCCUGUGAUUGUUGAUUAUAAUAAUAGUUAUUGUUGUCAAAGCUAGUAUGGUAUCAUUUAAGAAUCAGAUAGUUCUGUGUAUUCUUACAGUAUUUUACUAUAUAAUUAUAUCAUCUAGGCCGGAUUUUAUGCUGUAAAGGUAUUUGACGCGUUUCAAAAUAAUGCAUUACAAUACAUUUUUUUGUUCUUCUGUAGACCAAAGACGUGGAGGGAAAAUCUGGGCCAAAGAUUACAGUCAGCAGACGUCAAGGACGGACAAACAUAUGGCGGAGGCUACGUUGACGCAAGGGUUGCUACAGGCGAUUGUAGGGUUGGUUCUUACACAUGGGUUGUGGAAUUGAACCCGUCCUCUAUGGUAUGGUUGGAGAAUAUUUAUGACACUGAAUUUCACGGAAAUGGACUGACGUACUUUUCUGGGUUUCUGCUGUAUGAAACAGAAGUCAAAUAAAUCGCGAAAUUAU